GAUGAACGCUGGCGGCGUGCCUAAUACAUGCAAGUCGAGCGAACAGACGAGGAGCUUGCUCCUCUGACGUUAGCGGCGGACGGGUGAGUAACACGUGGAUAACCUACCUAUAAGACUAGGAUAACUUCGGGAAACCGGAGCUAAUACCGGAUAAUAUAUUGAACCGCAUGGUUCAAUAGUGAAAGACGGUUUUGCUGCCACUUAUAGAUGGAUCCGCGCCGCAUUAGCUAGUUGGUAAGGUAACGGCUUACCAAGGCAACGAUGCGUAGCCGACCUGAGAGGGUGAUCGGCCACACUGGAACUGAGACACGGUCCAGACUCCUACGGGAGGCAGCAGUAGGGAAUCUUCCGCAAUGGGCGAAAGCUUGACGGAGCAACGCCGCGUGAGUGAUGAAGGUCUUCGGAUCGUAAAACUCUGUUAUUAGGGAAGAACAAAUGUGUAAGUAACUAUGCACGUCUUGACGGUACCUAAUCAGAAAGCCACGGCUAACUACGUG
rnacentral:rRNA from 1 species